rnacentral:rRNA from 1 species
GAUGAACGCUGGCGGCGUGCUUAACACAUGCAAGUCGAGCGAUGAAGUUUCCUUCGGGAAACGGAUUAGCGGCGGACGGGUGAGUAACACGUGGGUAACCUGCCUCAUAGAGUGGAAUAGCUUUCGAAAGGAAGAUUAAUACCGCAUAAUGUUGAAAGAUGGCAUCAUCAUUCAACCAAAGGAGCAAUCCGCUAUGAGAUGGACCCGCGGCGCAUUAGCUAGUUGGUGGGGUAACGGGCUACCAAGGCGAAGAUGCGUAGCCGACCUGAGAGGGUGAUCGGCCACAUUGGGACUGAGACACGGCCCAGACUCCUACGGGAGGCAGCAGUGGGGAAUAUUGCACAAUGGGGGAAACCCUGAUGCAGCAACGCCGCGUGAGUGAUGAAGGUUUUCGGAUCGUAAAGCUCUGUCUUUGGGGAAGAUAAUGACGGUACCCAAGGAGGAAGCCACGGCUAACUACGUGCCAGCCGCCGCGGUAA